CUCAGGCGCCCGCCACCACACCCGGCUAAUUUUUUGUAUUUUUAGUAGAGACGGGGUUUCACCGUGUUAGCCAGGAUGGUCUCGAUCUCCUGACCUCGUGAUCCGCCCGUCUUGGCCUCCCAAAGUGCGGGGAUUACAGGCAUGAGCCACCGUGCCAGGCCUGUAUAGACCACAUUUCAAGUAUCCAUUCACUCACUUAUGGACACCUGGGUUGCUUUUACCUUUUCACUAUUUUGAAUAACGCUGCUGUAAACACAAAUGUAUAAAUCAGUGGUAUUAAGUUCGAAAGAACUUUAUGAAAUACUUUUUUUUUUUAGGUGGUUGGUUCUAGCUAUUGCCAUGGUACGUUUUUAUAUGGAAAAAGGAACACACAGAGGUUUAUAUAAAAGUAUUCAGAAGACACUUAAAUUUUUCCAGACAUUUGCCUUGCUUGAGAUAGUUCACUGUUUAAUUGGAAUUGUACCUACUUCUGUGAUUGUGACUGGGGUCCAAGUGAGUUCAAGAAUCUUUAUGGUGUGGCUCAUUACUCACAGUAUAAAACCAAUAUAAUUUUUUUAUCAUCUUAUAUCCUGUUGGAGUUGCUGGUGAACUUCUUACAAUAUACGCUGCCUUGCCGCAUGUGAAGAAAACAGGAAUGUUUUCAAUAAGACUUCCUAACAAAUACAAUGUCUCUUUUGACUACUAUUAUUUUCUUCUUAUAACCAUGGCAUCAUAUAUACCUUUGUUUCCACAACUCUAUUUUCAUAUGUUACGUCAAAGAAGAAAGGUGCUUCAUGGAGAGGUGAUUGUAGAAAAGGAUGAUUAAAUGAUCUCUGCAAACAAGGUGCUUUUUCCAGAAUAACCAAGAUUACCUGAGUCCAAGUUUUAAUAACAAGAAUAAACAACUUUGUGAAA
rnacentral:lncRNA from 10 species